rnacentral:rRNA from 1 species
GAUGAACGCUGGCGGCGUGCCUAAUACAUGCAAGUCGAGCGAACAGACGAGGAGCUUGCUCCUCUGACGUUAGCGGUGGACGGGUGAGUAACACGUGGAUAACCUACCUAUAAGACUGGGAUAACUUCGGGAAACCGGAGCUAAUACCGGAUAACAUGUUGAAACGCAUGGUUCAACAGUGAAAGACGGUCUUGCUGUCACUUAUAGAUGGAUCCGCGCCGCAUUAGCUAGUUGGUAAGGUAACGGCUUACCAAGGCAACGAUGCGUAGCCGACCUGAGAGGGUGAUCGGCCACACUGGAACUGAGACACGGUCCAGACUCCUACGGGAGGCAGCAGUAGGGAAUCUUCCGCAAUGGGCGAAAGCCUGACGGAGCAACGCCGCGUGAGUGAAGAAGGUCUUCGGAUCGUAAAACUCUGUUAUUAGGGAAGAACAAAUGUGUAAGUAACUAUGCACGUCUUGACGGUACCUAAUCAGAAAGCCACGGCUAACUACGUG